AACGAACGCUGGCGGCAUGCCUAACACAUGCAAGUCGAACGAGACCUUCGGGUCUAGUGGCGCACGGGUGCGUAACGCGUGGGAACCCGCCCUUAGGUUCGGAAUAACUCCCCGAAAGGGGUGCUAAUACCGGAUAAUGUCUUCGGACCAAAGAUUUAUCGCCUUUGGAUGGGCCCGCGUUGGAUUAGCUAGUUGGUAGGGUAAAAGCCUACCAAGGCGACGAUCCAUAGCUGGUCUGAGAGGAUGAUCAGCCACACUGGGACUGAGACACGGCCCAGACUCCUCGGGGGGGAGGCAGGGGGGAAUGUGGGGAAAGGGGCGAAAGCGGAACCCAGCAAGGCCGGGUGAGGGAGGAGGCCUUUGGGGUUGAAAAGCUCUUUCCCCCGGGAUGAUAAGGGCAGUCCGGGGGAAAUAGGCCCCGCCAAACCCCGUC
rnacentral:rRNA from 1 species